UAGGCUAUUUACACUUUACAUUCACUUGCUUUCAACGUGCAAACUAGGCUAUUUACACUUUACAUUCACUUGCUUUCAACAUGCAAACUAGGCUAUUUACACUUUACAUUCACUUGCUUUCAACAUGCAAACUAGGCUAUUUACACUUUACAUUCACUUGCUUUCAACAUGCAAACUAGGCUAUUUACACUUUACAUUCACUUGCUUUCAACGUGCAAACUAGGCUAUUUACACUUUACAUUCACUUGCUUUCAACAUGCAAACUAGGCUAUUUACACUUUACAUUCACUUGCUUUCAACGUGCAAACUAGGCUAUUUACACUUUACAUUCACUUGCUUUCAACAUGCAAACUAGGCUAUUUACACUUUACAUUCACUUGCUUUCAACAUGCAAACUAGGCUAUUUACACUUUACAUUCACUUGCUUUCAACGUGCAAACUAGGCUAUUUACACUUUACAUUCACUUGCUUUCAACAUGCAAACUAGGCUAUUUACACUUUACAUUCACUUGCUUUCAACAUGCAAACUAGGUUAUUUACACUUUACAUUCACUUGCUUUCAACGUGCAAACUAGGCUAUUUACACUUUACAUUCACUUGCUUUCAACGUGCAAACUAGGCUAUUUACACUUUACAUUCACUUGCUUUCAACGUGCAAACUAGGCUAUUUACACUUUACAUUCACUUGCUUUCAACGUGCAAACUAGGCUAUUUACACUUUACAUUCACUUGCUUUCAACGUGCAAACUAGGCUAUUUACACUUUACAUUCACUUGCUUUCAACGUGCAAACUAGGCUAUUUACACUUUACAUUCACUUGCUUUCAACAUGCAAACUAGGCUAUUUACACUUUACAUUCACUUGCUUUCAACGUGCAAACUAGGUUAUUUACACUUUACAUUCACUUGCUUUCAACGUGCAAACUAGGCUAUUUACACUUUACAUUCACUUGCUUUCAACGUGCAAACUAGGUUAUUUACACUUUACAUUCACUUGCUUUCAACAUGCAAACUAGGUUAUUUACACUUUACAUUCACUUGCUUUCAACAUGCAAACUAGGUUAUUUACACUUUACAUUCACUUGCUUUCAACGUGCAAACUAGGUUAUUUACACUUUACAUUCACUUGCUUUCAACGUGCAAACUAGGCUAUUUACACUUUACAUUCACUUGCUUUCAACGUGCAAACUAGGCUAUUUACACUUUACAUUCACUUGCUUUCAACGUGCAAACUAGGCUAUUUACACUUUACAUUCACUUGCUUUCAACAUGCAAACUAGGCUAUUUACACUUUACAUUCACUUGCUUUCAACGUGCAAACUAGGCUAUUUACACUUUACAUUCACUUGCUUUCAACGUGCAAACUAGGCUAUUUACACUUUACAUUCACUUGCUUUCAACAU